rnacentral:rRNA from 1 species
AUUGAACGCUAGCGGCAGGCCUAACACAUGAAAGUCGAGCGGAGCGGCGGACGGGUGAGUAAUGCCUAGGAAUCUGACUGGUAGUGGGGGAUAACUUCCGGAAACGUGCGCUAAUACCGCAUACUAUCCAAUGAGCCUAGGUCGGAUUCGCUAGUUGGAGUGGUAAAGGCCUACCACGGCGACGAUCCGUAACUGGUCUGAGAGGAUGAUCAGUCACACUGGAACUGAGACACGGUCCAGACUCCUACGGGAGGGAGCAGUGGGGAAUAUUGGACAAUGGGCGAAAGCCUGAUCCAGCCAUGCCGCGUGUGUGAAGAAGGUCUUCGGAUUGUAAAGCACUUUAAGUUGGGAGGCGUUACCAACAGAAUAAGCACCGGCUAACUUCGUGCCAGCCGCCGCGGUAAUUC